CUUCCCUUUGGGCAGUACUCUGUUACUAUGGCAACGUUGGGCACUUCAACGCAUCCGCCGAUGAACUUACAGAGGUUAGGAUGAUCGAGCUCCCUGAGCAGAGAGACGGAGUCACAGAUGUUUCCAGCUCAGGCCGUCAGGAUGAAGGAGAGGCAGAGCAGGCCGAGCGGCAGGCCGAUGGCCACCUUGGUGCCGGGACUCAUGGGACAUUCGCCGCAGUCGGCCGGACAGACGGACCUACAGCCGGCAGGACGGUGCUCUUCGCCUCCAGCGCCGCCUGCAUGGUUCCCACCCUGAUGUGAGCGAUCAGCGAGGUCAGACCCGUAUGGAACAGAACCACCUGCAAGACGACGCGCAGGGAUCACAAAAUACUGAGAACCGUCGGGCCGAAGCAGCGUCCGUUAUCGAACUGAAGACAGAACCACCAGGUUAGGAACCGGGUCCGGAACCGACGGGUGGUUCUGGACCCGGUGGAAGCGGCUGACCUGUGGGAGAAGAUGCGGUUCUGGACGGCCCAGUGGUAGAAGGAUUCCCGGGCCGUGACGGAGUAGACGACGGUGAAAACCUGACCGGUUUUUACCAGUUCUGGAGGCCGCAGAACCCAGGACAUCAGGAGACCUGGAGGAGGAACCAGAACCAGAACCAGAACCAGAACCUGAGCUGUUUCUUCAUGUUGCUGCUGCUGCUGACAGAAACCUGCAGCUUCUGAGCUCCUCAGGCUGAGGAAGAGGAGGAAGAGGAGGAAGAGGAG